GCUGGGAUAGCUCAGUUGGUAGAGCACGAGACUCUUAUUCUCCAGGUAGUGGGUUUGAACCCCACAUGGGCCCAAAGAUUCCUGC